rnacentral:rRNA from 1 species
CUGGGCUACACGGUGCUACAUGGUUGGUACACGAGUCGCAAGCCGGUGACGGCAAGCUAAUCUCUUAAAGCCAAUCUCAGUUCGGAUUGUAGGCUGCAACUCGCCUACAUGAAGUCGGAAUCGCUAGUAAUCGCGGAUCAGCACGCCGCGGUGAAUACGUUCCCGGGCCUUGUACACACCGCCCGUCACACCACGAGAGUUUGUAACACCCAAGUCGGUGAGGUAACCUAUUAGGAGCCAGCCGCCUAAGGUGGGAUAAAUGGGGUGAAUCUUUACAAAGGCCCUAUCGGAAAGUGCGGUUGU